GAUGAACGCUGGCGGCGUGCCUAAUACAUGCAAGUCGAGCGAACAGACGAGGAGCUUGCUCCUCUGACGUUAGCGGCGGACGGGUGAGUAACACGUGGAUAACCUACCUAUAAGACUGGGAUAACUUCGGGAAACCGGAGCUAAUACCGGAUAAUAUAUUGAACCGCAUGGUUCAAUAGUGAAAGACGGUUUUGCUGUCACUUAUAGAUGGAUCCGCGCCGCAUUAGCUAGUUGGUAAGGUAACGGCUUACCAAGGCAACGAUGCGUAGCCGACCUGAGAGGGUGGUCGGCCCCACUGGAACUGAGACACGGUCCAGACUCCUACGGGAGGCCGCAGUAGGGAAUCUUCCGCAAUGGGCGAAAGCCUGACGGAGCAACGCCGCGUGAGUGAUGAAGGUCUUCGGAUCGUAAAACUCUGUUAUUAGGGAAGAACAAAUGUGUAAGUAACUAUGCACGUCUUGACGGUACCUAAUCAGAAAGCCACGGCUAACUACGUG
rnacentral:rRNA from 1 species